rnacentral:rRNA from 1 species
CCUACGGGAGGCAGCAGUGGGGAAUAUUGGACAAUGGGGGCAACCCUGAUCCAGCCAUGCCGCGUGUGUGAAGAAGGCCCUCGGGUUGUAAAGCACUUUCAGUGAGGAAGAACGCCUGGUGGUUAAUACCCAUCAGGAAAGACAUCACUCACAGAAGAAGCACCGGCUAACUCCGUGCCAGCAGCCGCGGUAAUACGGAGGGUGCGAGCGUUAAUCGGAAUUACUGGGCGUAAAGCGCGCGUAGGUGGCUUGAUAAGCCGGUUGUGAAAGCCCCGGGCUCAACCUGGGAACGGCAUCCGGAACUGUCAAGCUAGAGUGCAGGAGAGGAAGGUAGAAUUCCCGGUGUAGCGGUGAAAUGCGUAGAGAUCGGGAGGAAUACCAGUGGCGAAGGCGGCCUUCUGGACUGACACUGACACUGAGGUGCGAAAGCGUGGGUAGCAAACAGGAUUAGAUACCCCGGUAGUC